UUCUUUGCUUCGCACGAUGAGAGAGAAAGGGAACGAUCGAGUUUUCAAAUAGGGAACUGAGCUUCCAAAAUCGACGACUCUCGAGCCAAAAUCAAUAGUUCGGGUCCGGCGCCGACAAUACUUCCAAUACUGAGUUUGGUGGUGGUCCUUUGAAAUUCAAUACUGAAUUGAUGUGUGUAUACGUUGAGGAAUUUCAGAGGGGGCUUAAGAGAAUCAAAGACGUUAGCCACUUCUAUCGUCAGAGGUCAAGUACCAAGAGACUUCUUUUCAUUAGCUCUGAAGGAUUUUGGACAAGUAGCAAAGAGAUUUAAGUUUUCCUUUCUCAUUGUUAUUCUGUGUAUUUGUUUUUAGUUUGCUCAGAUGUGGUGGGAAUUUCAUCUGAUUAUGGACAUACUUCUACAACUCCUUAUCUAUAUUGGAAGUAACGGUAUUGUUGCAGGAAGAGAGAAUGAGUAUAUGCGUGCAGCUUUCUCUCUGCUUUCUUUGUAACGAAUCGAAGAUCAUGUGGAUUUAAUGAUGAUUAUAUAGAAUUUCACUCUCUAUGCUUUCUGUUUUGUCAUGAAGAGAGAAUGGGUACUUACCUUCUUCAAAAUCGAGUACUUGAUCAUAAAGAGUGAGGCUUUGGUUAUGAUGUUUUUGAUGUUGGGUUGUCAUUGCGGUAAUUGCUACUGUUUUACAUAAUGUGAUCUUAAUGAGAAUGUACACUUUAACAUGCAUUGAAAUAGUGGUGAGUGUGUGUAUGUG